AUGUCUAAGGGACCUGCAGUAGGCAUUGAUCUUGACACCAACUACACCUGUGUGGGUGUCUUCCAGCAUAGAAAGGUGGAGAUAAUUGCCAACAAUCAGGGGAACUGAACCACACCAAGCUAUGUCACUUUUACUGACACCAAACGAUUGAUCAGUGAUGCUGCAAAGAAUCAGGUUGCGAUGAACCCCACUAACACAGUUUUUGAUGCCAAACGUCUGAUUAGACAUAGAUUUGAUGAUGCUAUUGUCCAGUCAGACAUGAAGCAUUGGCCUUUCACUGUGGUGAAUGAUGUAGGUAGGCCUGAAGUCCAAGUAGAGUACAAAGGGGAGACCAAAGGUUUCUACCCAGAGGAGUUAUCUUCUAUGGUUCCAACAAAGAUGAAGGAAAUCGCAGAAGCCUAUCUUGGGAAGACUGUUACCAAAGCUGUAGUCACAGUGCCACCUUACUUUAACGACUCUCAGUGUCAGACAACAAAAGAUGCUGGAACCAUGGCUGGUCUCAACGAGCCAACUGCUGCCACUAUUGCUUAUGGCUUAGACAAGAAGUUCAGUGCUGAAAGGAAUGUGCUGAUUUUUUAUUUAGGAGAUAGCACUUUUUAUGUGUCAGUCUUUACUAUUGAGGAUGGGAUCUUUAAAGUCAAAUCUACAGCAGGAGACACCCAUUUAGGUAGAGAAGACUUUGACAACCAUUUCAUUGCUGAGUUCAAAUGCAAGCAUAAGAAGGACAUCAGAGAGAACAAGAGAGCUGUCCAUCAUCUGUGUACUGCUUGUGGGCGAGGUAAGCAUACCCUCUCUUCUAACACUCGGAACAGCAUCAAGAUCAAAGAGCUGAAUGCUGACCUGUUUGGUGGCCCUCUGGACCCUGUAGAAAAAGCCCUUCGAGAUCCCAAACUGGACAAGUCAUAGAUCAAUAACAUUGUCCUGUGCUUCUUCAAUGGGAAAGAUCUAAAUAAGAGCAUCGACCCUGAUGAACCUGUUGCUUAUGGUGCCACUGUCCAGGCAGCCAUCCUAUCUGGAGACAAGUCUGAAAAAGUUCAAGAUUUGCUGCUCUUGGAUGUCACUCUUUCCCUGGGUGUAGAAACUGCUGGCGGAGUCAUGACUGUCCUUAUCAAGUGCAAUACUACCAUUCCUACCAAGGAGACACAGACCUUCACCACCUACUCUGAUAACCAGCCUGGUGUGCUCAUUCAGGUGUUUGAAGGUGAGUGAGCCAUGACCAAGGACAACAACCCUGUUGGCAAGUUUGAACUCACAGGCAUCCCUCCUGCACCCAGUGGUGGUCCUCAGAUUGAAGUCACUUUUGAUACUGAUGCAAUGGCGUCCUCAAUAUUUCUGCUGUGGACAGAGUGCAGGAAAAGAGAACACAAUUACCAUCACCGGUGACAAGGGCUGCUUGAGGAAGGAGGACAUUGAGCGGCUGGUCCAGGAAGCAGAGAAGUACACAGCUGGAGAUGAGAAGCAGAGGGGUGAAAUGUCAUCCAAGAAUUUGCUGGAGUCCUUUGCAUUCAACAUGAAAGCAACUGUUGAAGAUGAGAAACUUCAGGGCAAGAUCAAGGAUGAAGAUAAACAGAAGAUUCUGGACAAGUGUAAUGAGAUCAUCAGUUGGCUGGGUCAGUCAGAGAAGGAAGAGUUUGAACAUCUAACAGAAAGAGCUGGAGAAAGUCUGCAACCCCAUCAGUACCAAGCUGUACCAGAGUGCAAGAGGCAUGCCAGGAUGA